CCUACGGGAGGCAGCAGUGAGGAAUAUUGGUCAAUGGGCGGGAGCCUGAACCAGCCAAGUCGCGUGAGGGAAGACGGUCCUAUGGAUUGUAACCCUCUUUAGGCGGGGAGCAAUGCCGGGCACGCGUGCCCGGAGGGAGAGUACCCGCAGAAUAAGCAUCGGCUAACUCCGUGCCAGCAGCCGCGGUAAUACGGAGGAUGCGAGCGUUAUCCGGAUUUUUUGGGUUUAAAGGGUGCGUAGGCGGAUGUUUAAGUCAGCGGUAAAAUGUCCGGGCUCAACCCGGGCCGGCCGUUGAAACUGGGGAUCUUGAGUGGGCGAGAAGUAUGCGGAAUGCGUGGUGUAGCGGUGAAAUGCAUAGAUAUCACGCAGAACUCCGAUUGCGAAGGCAGCAUACCGGCGCCCGACUGACGCUGAGGCACGAAAGCGUGGGGAUCGAACAGGAUUAGAUACCCCAGUAGUC
rnacentral:rRNA from 1 species